rnacentral:lncRNA from 1 species
GAGAAGAUUGAGUUGAAAACUCUUCUAAAAAGAACAAGAAAAUAGUUAUUGCAUAGGAGAAAACUCAAAGAGUAUUUUUAGUUAAAUCAAAAUUGGUUGUCACUACCGCUUUUUGUACAAGAAGGGAGGAUCCAAUAUAUUAGAGAAAAUGGAAAAAAUAAAAUGCAUAUUGUAUGAGCAAAUUAGUUGAGACUCAAAACAAUAUAUGUUAAGAAAAGG